rnacentral:lncRNA from 1 species
AAAUAAAUUUCAACCAAGUUCUAAUUUAAUUCUGGUUGAAACUCUAAUAGACUUCAAUCAAAUCCUAGACAAACCUUAAAUCUUAGAUCAAAUCCAAGACAAAUCUUAAUUCCUAAAUCAAACCUUAGACAAAUCUUAAAUCUUAAAUUAAACCUUAGAAAAUCCUAAAUCUUAAAUCCUAAAUCAAAUCCUAAUCAACUCAAUUUAAUCCUAGUAUUCUUUAGAACUUCAAUAUCUAUCAAUUAAAUCAUUAAAUUUACUUAAAAAUUUACAUACAUCUCACUAAUUAAAUCCACAA